rnacentral:rRNA from 1 species
UACGAAGGGGGCGAGCGUUGUUCGGAUUUACUGGGCGUAAAGCGUGCGCAGGCGGUUUUGUAAGUCUGUCGUGAAAUCCCCGGGCUCAACCUGGGAAUUGCGAUGGAGACUGCAAGGCUAGAAUCUGGCAGAGGGGGGUAGAAUUCCACGUGUAGCAGUGAAAUGCGUAGAGAUGUGGAGGAACACCGAUGGCGAAGGCAGCCCCCUGGGUCAAGAUUGACGCCCAUGCACGAAAGCGUGGGGAGCAAACAGG